rnacentral:tRNA from 1 species
GCCGGGAUGGCGAAACAGGCAGACGCACCGGACUCAAAAUCCGGCGGUAGCGAUACCGUGAGGGUUCGACUCCCUCUCCCGGCACCA